UUUUAUUUAUUAGAAUAUUUACAAUCAAUUCUCGUUGAGAAUUUUCAGUAAUUUCAUUUGGCGUGAUACAAUGGCAUGGUUUAUAAUAGUUUUAUAUUGUUGGUUCUAGUAGGAUCUAAGGAUUUAAUCUAAAGGGUAUUUUCUUUUUAGUCUGCGGAUCUGGUCCGUCGUGUCAAGUAGUUGGGUGACUAAUGGGUCGUGGUGGUUGUUGACUCUUGCGUUAUAUCUGCUUCUGGACUUGGAUAUUUCAUCUUUGACUGUAGGUAUCUUGAGGUCGCGAUGAAAUAUACAAGUCCAGAAGCAGAUAUAACGCAAGAGUCAACAACCAC
rnacentral:misc_RNA from 1 species